rnacentral:rRNA from 1 species
UACGGAGGGUGCAAGCGUUGUUCGGAUUUACUGGGCGUAAAGCGCGCGCAGGCGGGUUUACAAGUCAGAUGUGAAAUCUCGGGGCUUAACCCCGAAACUGCGUCUGAAACUGUAGACCUAGAAUAUCAUAGGGGGCAGGGGAAUUUCACGUGUAGGGGUAAAAUCCGUAGAGAUGUGAAGGAACACCGGAGGCGAAGGCGCCUGCCUGGAUGAUUAUUGACGCUGAGGUGCGAAAGCGUGGGGAGCAAACAGG